UACACAGUACACACAUUCGCUCCCUCAGCAUUGCAAACACGCUCCCCCCAAACCACAAACGCGCCCCCACACACUCGCUUACUUUCCCUCACAAAGAUGCCCGCUUACACGGCCACAGCAAGCACGCUCAAAGACACGCAGUUGCACACUUACACACAUCGCUGUAUACAACCCCACACACACUCAAAACACAAAACACGAAACGUUCCCCUGGGCACUAAAUUCUCACGUUCACGUACACACCCAAACACACGCCCUCCUCUCCCACUCCUCUUCCAUACCCCUUCCUCAAGGGCCCCCACUCCUGAUUUUCGGCACCCCAAGUCCCAAUCAUAAUCGGCGCCCACGCAGCCCCCUUUGGACCCACACACAGGCGCGCACGCACGCACUCCCCUCCCCAGCAGGCGGGGGCGGCUUCAGCGCGGAGCCCGCGGAGCCCGCUUCGGAUUCCAGGUGUGGCGGUGACUCCGCGCUCCACGUUUUGCAGGCCGCCGCCGUGUCGGAGGCGAGGAGAGGAAGGGAGCUGGAAUAACAAAGGCAAGUUGGGGAGAGCGCAAGGGGGCGCAGCCCCAGUCGGGCUGCGGGGGGAGCCCUGCGCAGCCGGGGCUUGGGAGGCUGCGGGGUCGCGGGCGCGGGGAGCCGGAGGUGGGGGAGGAAGGGUGGGGGGAGAGGGGCGGGGCCGAGGCGUGACGUCAGAGAACAAUGACACUGCCGGGGGGGGGGGCGGGCACCCGGAGGCGGCCGGGGCGGGGGUCUCCCCGGGGGCCUGGGGCGGGCCGAAGACGUCCUGGCCCGGCCGGAGCCACCGCCUGACUGACGAGGCCCCGCAAGGGAGCAGACGUGCUGCCCAGACUUGCGGGUCUCCCGGGCCGCUUGGGCGGUGAUCAGCGCGGACCUUGGGCCAACCCGGGAAGCAGGCCGGAGCACUACCCCCACCAACCCCAUUUUAGAACAUCCUUCUGAGGGCUUCGCUGACCUCGGCUUGAACUCCUUCAGAGCCGGAGAGAUCACUCCUUCCACUACCGAGGGAGAGAAGGCAGAAUGAAUUUGCCAGCUUUGAAUUCAUUCUCAAGGCUCCGCUAGUCUGACAGCCGGUGAACUCAGCCUGGAAUUCCUGAGAGCUCAGAAAACUGCUGCUCAGGUGGCAGUUGAGCAUCCCUGGAGAGGGUGGUGAUAUGAAAGCACUUCCAGACCUCUAGGGACACCAGGGAGUCAUGAUCCCAGCACAUUCCUGUGUGAGGGAGCCCCUCCUCCUCAGCCUGUGUGUGGCCCAAGUUCACAGGUAGGUCCACCAGGGCCACCUGAGAAACCUCUGAAGGUAGGAAUUCAGCUUGCAGAAUGGAGGCUGGAGAUACAACUGUCCCACUCCCAGCAAUCCACAGCAUUGCGACAGUCGUACAGCCACCCCAUACCCACAUCCAAAAUCCCAAGAGAGUUUCUGGCUGUUUAAGGACUUGGGAUACUAGCAUGCAGCCCAGCUAAAAACUAGACCAGUUUUUGUUGCCUGAAUGACCUCCUAGGUCUGGACGCCCAGCCUCUCAACCUUUCUGUCCAGAUUCCUCAGUAAGUACCCAGGACCUGCCCGCUUCCAGGAAUUGGGGGAUGUAGAUGACUUGGGAGGUGACUAACUCAUGUUCAAAGUCUCCUGUCCAGAAGCUCCAUCUCCCCACCCCACGUCCCAGCCCCCUACUCUCCUACCAGUAAUUACAUCUGGAACCCAGGAAGUGGCUGCAGAGGGCAGAGGAGCCAAGUAGGCUCAACUUAGUAGCACAGAACCAGGGAUCAUUUCAGCUGUCCCCUUCUGUGCAAGCAUGGUGGCAAGUCAGAAACCCACCAGGGCCCUGGGUCUGCCCUAGGCUCCUCUCCUUGGGUCUCUGAGGCCCUUACUCUCUGUUCAUCUUCCAGGGAGAUAAUGGGGCAGGCUGGAUACCUCUGGGGUCUUGGAAGAAGUUAUGACUUAUUUAUUGCCUACUGUGUGCUGAGUACUGUGGUGGGGCCUCCUAGGUAUUGAGAAUUCAGUUCGCUUAUUGAAUUUGCACAUUGUCUUAAGUUAGAUGCUGCUACCAUCCUCUUUUCAGAGAAAACUGUGAAUGGCUUCCUCAACACUGGUCAGGAUGGGAACUUGGGCCCCCAUUAGCAGAGUUCCCUGUUGUCCUCUUAGCCCUGGCUAUGUGUCUUCAUCCAUAGACUGUGUGGCCCUAAGCAAAAUGCUUUCUGCCUCUGAGCCCCUGUAAGGUCUAUGGUGCCAUCAGGCCUCACUGGGAACUGUGUCCAAAAUCUUCACCCCAAGAGCCUUAGCCUCACUGGGCCUGGAGAUCUGCUGGUGAGAUAGAGAGGACAAUACCAUCACUUCCCAGUGGCCCAGAGCUGGAAGAUGCAUCCUGCUCAGCCCCUGCAGGCCCAGAGGUCACCUGGCUCCACUAGGAGGGCACGGGCGGCAUGGGGCAGCUGGCUUGUGCCUACCUUCAGAACAGACUCAAGUGCUGUUAAUUUCCCUGCCCUGUGGGAGCUACCAGUGGACUGGGGAGAGUACCACUGCUGGGCCCUAGGCCCAGGUUUCAGGAGGCAGAAAAUCUGGGGGCCAGCAGGAUGGUGGGGGUUAGAGGCUUGAGGUCCCUGAGGGAAGCAAAAGACCUGUGUAGGGUGUGGCAAGUAUGGCCUCCUAGUGUGAGCUGAGGUAGGGGCAGGUAUACAGCAGGGAUUCCUACUUAUCCAGGAGCUGCCUUCUCUGUUCCCACUCUCCACCCCUCACUUCUGGAACUUAAGGGAGCCAGGGAACAUCUAAAAUUGAGACUAGAGAGGUAGGAAGAAAAUCACAUUUAUUGAGUACUUAUUGUGUGCCAGGCACUUUGGAAACAUUCGUUGUAUCCUCUCCGCAAGCCAGAUGUCAUUCCCUGCUAAGGGAAGAGGCUCAGAGAGGUUAAGUGGUCUGCUCAAGAUCUCACAGCUGGCUGGGCAUAGCGGCUCACACCUGUAAUCUCAGGACUUUAGGAGGCCAAGCGGGACAGAUCACUUGAGCUCAGGAGUUCGAGACCAGCCUGGGUAAUAUAGCAAGACCUUGUCUCUACAAAAAAAAUACAAAAAUUAACCAGGCAUGGUAGCACAUGCCUGUAGUCCAGCUACUUGAGGGGCUAAGGUCAGAGGAUCACUGGAUCCUAGGAGGCUGAGGCUGCAGUGAGCCAUGAUUGUGCCACUGCACUCCAGACCGGGCAACAGAGCAUGACCCUGUCUCAAAAAAAACUAAACAAAACAAUAAAGAUCUCAGAGCUGCUGAGUGGGUGGAGCCAAGAUUGGGCUCCGGGUCUGGGCUGGGCCUUGAGGUUAAGAAUAGGGACUUGCCCUCAUCUCACUGCCAGGUUAUGGUGCAGGUAAGAUGACCUACCAGCUACUUUGAGGUGGAGUAAAGACUCACCCACUUGCCAGGGAAUGACUGGGGCCCUUCCCAUGGCAGUGAGGUAAUAGGGAUUACAUUUAGUCUUCACCCCUUGGUGGAUACAGGAAGCAUUUGGCCCGGGCCCAGCUCUGAGCCGUAUUCCUCUAUGAGGUGGGUGGUUGGGUCAAGCAGGGAAGAUUUUUGUCCUUCAGCAAAUUAGGCUCUCCUACUCUGCCUCCCCCUCAUUUUCCAAUCAGACCUGAGCCCACACCUUCCCAUCCUCCAAGGCCUUCCCUCAAGCAAGAUGUCUUCUGACUUUCCACCAUGGAGCUCUGCCCUAUGGUUCAAGACUCAACUCAGCCACCACCCCCUUCUUCAGAUGGGAGACACAAGAUAAUAGGCCGGGGGCCUGCCUCAGGAGCUGGGACACCUAUGUGCUCAGCCUGGCAUUGCCUGAUUUGCUGCGUGGCGUAAGCACAUCACAAACCCUCCCUGUGUCUGUUCCCCAUCUGCCGAGGCAGAGAGUAUGGGAUAUCCAGCAGCACUUUUGCCUCUGCUUGUUCUUAGAUUCUGUAGGUCUGAUCCUUUAACCCCUGGACUGAGCUACAGUUCACUUUAGGGUUUGAGGGGGCCCUGCUUUAGGGAGGGCUUUCAGAGGGGGCCAUUUAGUGGAGUAGGGACAAAAAAUAAAUACCUGGAGAGAGCUGCUCAGAACUGUGACUGUCUAGGACUGUGAGGAGUUAAUGACCCUAACAUCUCCCUUCAUGGGGCACCUCUCACUCUCUGCGCCUCAUAACAUUCCUUUUGUGGGUGACUAAGCUGAGCCCUAAAAGGAGGUGGUGGCUUUCCCAGGGCUGCACCACUGGGAAGCACCAGAGCUGGAACAAGAGCCAGGUCUCAGCCAGGCAUGGUGGCACAUGCCUGUAGUACCAGCAACUCCUGGGGGCGAGGGGGUGCAGAGAAGAGCCAGGUCUCCUCAUCCAGUGUCCCCUCACCUGCGUCAGCACCCCUUCAAAGGAGCAAGUACAUGCAGAAACUGAUGAAGGAGUCUGGGACAAGCAACCUGAGAAGGACCACGCCUCCCACCUGCUUCCUGACAGCUCCUUAACCCUGAGAGGGGUGGUGGAAGAUCUCAGAUCCUCAGCAUCUCCCCUCCUCCUGGCUACGCAGUCCUCCUCCAGCCUCAAGGCUCAUGCUUUCUUUUUCUCACCUAAUCCUGUAGCCAUGCUGGGUGACUUCCAGAAUUGCCAGCAUUAUGUACAUACUCUUACCUCUGUGCUGUUGUUGAUACUCUUCCUACCUCCUAGACAUACCCCUCCCAGUCGCCAAGGAUGCAUCUACAACCACCUGCUUGGAAGCCUACCCUGAUACCUCCACCAGAUGUGCCGUCCUUGUCUCAGCCCCCAUAUGCUGCUGGCCCAGCCUCCAUCAUCAGCAUCACCAUGGCAAUUGCUUGUGAAGUUCUUGCUAUGUGCCAGGCACUGAGUAGCUCAUAUACAUGAACUCCUCCCAUCCUCUGAGCUGAGUAUUAGUAUUCUCAUUUUACAGAUGAGGAAACAGAGGCACAGGGAGUUUCAUUUCCUAGUGUGACACCUCACAGGCUGGGGAGGUUAUGUGUUACAUACCCCUCUUCUGUCAGGGCUGCAGGUCAUAGGAUGGCUCACUGCUACAUCCCAUCACCCAGUGCAGCGCCUUGGGGGCUGACAGGCCAUCAAGAGCAGGGGAGGUAUCACGGCACAUAGUAUGACCAGAACCAGUCCUCUGGGGGCUCACAGGCUCUCAGAAACAACUGCCCACACCAAAUGCCAGUCUAAGAGUUCAGGGGAAGAAGAGGAGUUGGCAUUGAGUGGGGUCUGGAAGGUAAGCUCUGCUGGGGCUGUAGGAAAGCCAGAGUGGCACAUGGACCUGCCCAAGGUCACACAGCAAGUAUAGGACAGCAGCAGGGCUGGGACCUGGAGCUCCCAGUGUGACAUGCCUUCUUGCACCUUGCAGCCAGCUGUGGGGCCCCUUCGACUGUGCUAUUUUCAAGGACACACGGUCCCAGACGCCUCCACGAUGCUGAGCUGUUCAAUGAGUGGCUCUGGUUCUUCUCCCCCUCUAUUAAAAUGGAAAAAAAAAAAGAAGAAGAAAGAAAGAAAUCCAGGCAUUGUUCCUGACUGCAGCUGGUGCCAACCAGAAUCCCGCUGAACAGAAUGGAGCCGAGAGCCUGGCCGCCCAGGGGCCUGGCUGCUGACACAGGGCCUUUCUAUUUAGCUUUCCACUGGGGGCCCAGGCUGACGGUACAGCCCCUCCACGGACACCCUCUCCACCUGCCUCCCCGGCCCUGGCUCUGAGCCUCCUGCUGCCUUCACCCUUUUUGCAAAAAUCAGAUGCCACUUGGGAGGGCUGCAGGAGCACCCCCACCCCCUGCUUUCCUUCUUCAUCCACUCACAGCCUGGGAUGCGCUGGGCCUCCCUCCCUCCCUCCCUCCCUGUCCCCCUACCCUACCAGGAGGGAACUUGGGAUGCUUGUCUGGGAAAACGGCACAAAUCCCUCUUCCAAAAUCAUUUUAAACACUGGUCCGAUUCAAAGACAUGAGGAUUUUCCACCCCACCCCCACCUGACUUGGCAGGUGCCAGUCCUCAGCUUACACAUUAAGGCCUCUUGCAAUAGUGAAGGCCUAGGGGGAAAAGGGAAGGUGAUGAACAGCUCUGCAGAGACAAAAACCGUCGUUUAAAUCACUGGUUUGCCUUCUCCCUUUGGUCUUAGGAGGAAAAAAGGACUCCUCCAGCUCUCCCUUGUCAUCUUCAUUUCAUCCCCGCUCCCUUCCCCUUUUGUGAGUUGCUGGUACUCAGACCCCGUCUCCCCAGGCUAUGGGUGGGUUUGACCCACAUUACUCCAAGCAGCAGUUCUAAGAGAGCAGCAGCCUGGCCACUGUCCAGUGUCCAUCAGGGACCCUUGGAUUGGUGCUGCCACCAGAGCCAACUCUUCCGGCUCCCCCCUUCCUCCUGGGGACACAGCUCUUUAGUUUGUCAAAAGCACUUGACAUCUCACGUGAGUGCUGCAGCAGCCUCCAGAGGCAGGCAGGGAUUGCUAACCCUGCUUCUACAGGGAUUCACCUCGUAGAAUAAUAAACUAAGGGUUCAGGAGGCAUCGUGGUUUGGCCAAGGUUAAAUGAGGUGACAGAGUUGGGAUGUGAACCCUGGUCUCUUGAUUCCACAUCGCUAAGUUGUGGUGGGGACUCAGGGAGUGACGGUGUCAGAGGACGACAUUCCCAGCCCCAACCACCCUCCACCCAACCAAAUGCUGCCAGGAGACAGGAUCUCAGACACGUCAAUUCCUUUAAGAAAUAUUUAUUCAGUACUUGCUAUGUGCCAGAUCUCCAACAGUGAACAAAACAGAUUUGGUCCACACAGCUGCAGAGCUUAUAUUCUGAGACAGACACCAGACUUUGUGCAGAAAGAUACCUCACCUCCUAGUUGCCCAGCCCGUAUGUCCCAGAAGGAACCAUGAGUUGGGCAGCCAGACGUAAGUUCUAGUCCUAGGAUUGUCCCUCUCUGUGUCACCUUGGGCCGAGUUUUCCACCUGGGAAAUCUAAGCAUGUGGCCCUCACACAUUUUCUCAGGUCUCUGCCCUACUCCCCGUCUCUGGGUCUAGUGGUUCAUGAUUUCCUGGUAUGAAUAAUUACCCUGCUUUUUAGUUUUUUUCUUAAACCCCACUUUUCACAGGCUCUCAGAGCCAGAACGGGGCUUCUGAGAUAAUUUGCUCUGAGCCCUUCACUAAGAAAGAACCCCUUAGCCUCACUCCUACCAGGAGGAGACUGUCUCUGCUUGCACCCUUCCAGGACAGGCUGCUUGCUACCUCACAGAGCAGACCUCUGCCAGUGGUGUGCUGGUAAAUGUUUAACAUCUGACUCCCCAAAGUGGGGAGAACCUGGUUUGUAGUAUUUGCCGAUGUCCCACCAUGGCCAGUUUCAAGCUGCCGACCAGAGCCAGCUGGCACAGCUGGUUGGUUCCAUCAACCAGCUCGCACAGUUCCUGAAAAUUUAACAAUCGGCCCUUGUGAGCCAUAUGAACAGGCUCCAACACACCAUUGCCCCUGCCCCUCAGAGAAGUCCUAUCCGGCUUUACUCACUGGGAAGUUCUUUCUGGUAUGGAGCAAAAUAUCUGAUUGUCAGGAACUCUGGCCUGAAAGUCCUGAGCUGCUUCUCUGGGGUGUCACAGGACAACAGGGACCCUAUGAAGCCCUUCUCUAAUUGGUGGCAGUUCUUGACUCUGUCUUCCUGUGAGGGGGACAAGUUCCUGGCCAAGUGGGGUCAGAUUAUAGCCACCCUCCCAUUCUGCCUUUCUCUCUCCCUCCUUACCUCCCUUCCUUCCUCCCUUUCUUUCACGAAUAUUUCCUGGGCCCCUGUGACAUGUCAGACAUAGCGCUAGAUACUGUGGAUUCAGCGACACAUGUCUUAGCUUGCACUGAGAUGCCGUCCACUCUGAGAAGCCUGUCCUGGCCCCCACCCCGGCCCCUCCUGCAGUGGGCAGGCUCCUGCCCUCCCAGAGCUUUUCACCUUUAUCACUGCUGUUUGGCGCUUAUCACUUUCUACCUGGGAUUGCAGCUAUUUAUGUACACGGCUUAUCUCCCUGCCAGACUGAGAGGCAACUCGGACCUGCUGAAAGAGGGUGGACUUUGGAGCCGCAUGACCUGACCCUCAAUCCCAGCUCACAGCGACUUAGAGCUGUGAGCCCUGGAGGAGCUCCCACCACCUUUGGGAGCCUCAGUUUCCUUAUCUGUAAAGUGGGGAUGGUAAUAACUACUUCCAGUGUGUUUUCAAGCAAUAAAUAGGAUUAGAAAUGUCAA